rnacentral:rRNA from 1 species
GAUGAACGCUGGCGGCGUGCCUAAUACAUGCAAGUCGAGCGAACAGACGAGGAGCUUGCUCCUCUGACGUUAGCGGCGGACGGGUGAGUAACGCGUGGAUAACCUACCUAUAAGACUGGGAUAACUUCGGGAAACCGGAGCUAAUACCGGAUAAUAUAUUGAACCGCAUGGUUCAAUAGUGAAAGACGGUUUUGCUGUAACUUAUAGAUGGAUCCGCGCCGCAUUAGCUAGUUGGUAAGGUAACGGCUUACCAAGGCAACGAUGCGUAGCCGACCUGAGGGGGUGAUCGGCCACACUAGAACUGAGACACGGUCCAGACUCCUACGGGAGGCAGCAGUAGGGAAUCUUCCGCAAUGGGCGAAAGCCUGACGGAGCAACGCCGCGUGAGUGAUGAAGGUCUUCGGAUCGUAAAACUCUGUUAUUAGGGAAGAACAAAUGUGUAAGUAACUAUGCACUUCUUGACGGUACCUAAUCAGAAAGCCACGGCUAACUACGUG